AAAAAAUAACUAGUAUUAAAACUCCAACCUUUUAACACAAAUACAAAAUGGCAAAACCAAUGAAAACCUGAGAUUCUGAGUUGGCAGGCUAGGGCAUUUCAAUAGGCUAAAGUAGUUUUAGAUUGUUUUAGAUGGAUUCUAAUAUGAUCAGUAACUAUAAUGAUGUCUAAUACUGCAUACAACAAAUUAACUUAAACUAUUUUCUCAUUUUCAGCUAUAUUAGGCCCCCAUAUACCACAUGUUUUGAAGCAUAAUACAUAGAGAGAACAAGCUAUGUCUCCUAGUUCCAAAUAAGUUUUGUAAAAUUACUUGAUUUGUAUUAUUCUGGAUAAAUUACAGUCUGGUCAGUAACUCUGUUGGUGUCUAUUUAAAAAAAGAUAAUUUAACACUGUCUGCCCUACUCUGCAAAUUCUGCCCUAGCCAGUCAGUCAUCUCUUUUUGAUCCACCACCCAUGAAUGACUUUAUUUACUCAUCUCAACCAAUAUUUUUUCUGCAGACAGCUUGUAAAAGUACUAGUUUAUGACUACUUGGUUAUACAUUUGGUUAAAAUCUCUUGAUUUAAAUUAUUUUGGAUGGAUUACGGAAAUAUGUAAACUCACACUUACAUCGCUAAAACAUUUUAUACUCCUUCUAGAUUUUGUAGGUAUGAGCUAGGUUAAUAUAAACUGAUGCUAUGCUGCUAACUAUUACCGUUUACACUGGAGGAUGUGACCCAAACACACACAGUCAGUCCUACUGUACCUUACUGUACCACGGAUAAAAUCCAGCCCUUCGUUAUAUUACAGCAGUAGGAAUUAAGUCACUAGGAAUUAUUAACCAAGUACCUAGUUACAGAUGGAUGUAGGAGUGGGAUAGCAGAGUGGACACAGUGUUUAAAAACUCCUCUGAUCCACUCACUUGUACCAGCACAGCACACACUAACACCUCAUACACCACUCAAAUAUUACCUAUAAUAAUACAUAUAAUAUUUAUUUAUAUAUAUAAAUUUACCAAAGAAAA
rnacentral:lncRNA from 1 species